rnacentral:rRNA from 1 species
UACGUAGGGUGCGAGCGUUGUCCGGAGUUAUUGGGCGUAAAGAGCUCGUAGGCGGUGUGUCACGUCGGCCGUGAAAACCUGCAGCUUAACUGUGGGCGUGCGGUCGAUACGGGCAUCACUGGAGUUCGGCAGGGGAGACUGGAAUUCCUGGUGUAGCGGUGGAAUGCGCAGAUAUCAGGAGGAACACCGGUGGCGAAGGCGGGUCUCUGGGCAGUAACUGACGCUGAGGAGCGAAAGCGUGGGGAGCGAACAGG